UACAGAGGGCUCGAGCGUUGUUCGGAUUCAUUGGGCGUAAAGGGUGCGUAGGCGGCGCCGUAAGUCGGGUGUGAAAUUUCGGAGCUUAACUCCGAAACUGCAUUCGAUACUGCGGUGCUCGAGGACUGGAGAGGAGACUGGAAUUCAUGGUGUAGCAGUGAAAUGCGUAGAGAUCAUGAGGAAGACCAGUGGCGAAGGCGGGUCUCUGGACAGUUCCUGACACUGAGGCACGAAGGCCAGGGGAGCAAACGGG
rnacentral:rRNA from 1 species